AUUGAACGCUGGCGGCAGGCCUAACACAUGCAAGUCGAACGAGUGGCGGACGGGUGAGUCAUGUCUGGGAAACUGCCCGAAGGAGGGGGCUAACUACUGGAAACAGUAGCUAAUACCGCAUACCAUCGGAUGUUCCCAGAUGGAAUUAGCUAGUUGGUGGGGUACCGGCUCACCUAGGCGACGAUCCCUAGCUGGUCUGAGAGGAUGACCGGCCAGACUGGAACUGAGACACGGUCCAGACUCCUACGGGAGGCAGCAGUGGGGAAUAAUGCACAAUGGGCGCAAGCCUGAUGCAGCAAAGCCGCGUGUAUGAAGAAGGCCUUCGGGUUGUAAAGUACUUUCAGCGAGGAGGCGUUACUCGCAGAAGAAGCACCGGCUAACUCCGUGCCAGCAGCCGCGGUAAUAC
rnacentral:rRNA from 1 species